rnacentral:lncRNA from 1 species
UUGCGCAUGCGGGAAACCCACGCUGAGGGAAGAAUCAUGGGAAAGAGUAGAGACGGGGUUCCACCGUGUUAGCCAGGAUGGUCUCGAUUUCCUGACCUCGUCAUCCUCCCGCCUUGGCCUCCCAAAGUGCUGGGAUUACAGGCUUGAGCCACCGCGCCCCGCUCUUUCGUGUUCCAAAGGCUUUUUAAAUAAACUUCCACUCCUGUCCUGGAUUCUGCUUUAUGGCCCUCAGUCGAAUUCUUUCUUCUGAGGAGGCAAGGACUGAAGUUGCUUCUGACCAGUACAGGAGAAAACGAAUACAGCAGGGAUGACUUCCACCAGCUCCACUUUGCAGCUCUGAGGUGUAUUAAAAAUUUGUUUUUCAGAAACCUAGAGCCCCACCAAAUGAAUCCGCUGGCACGUGGACCUCAGAUGGGGGAAACUGAGGACUGAAUUCUGACCACCCUCCUUUGUUCUAAAUUUCUUCCUGAAGGACCUGGAAGAAGUCAUGCCACGGGCCAGACCUUAACAUUCCUUUCGGCUUACCCCAGGAUUUCAGACAAAGCUUCACUUUCCUAACCAGUCACAAAUCAGAGAAUUUUUGAUUCCACCUAUGACCUGUGAGCUCCUGCUUCAAGAUAUUCCACCUUUUUUAGGCCAAACCAAUGUAUAACCUCCAAGUGUCGAUUUACACUUUCGACUGUAACUUCUGCUUUCCUGAGAUUUACCCCUGCCUUUAAAAACCCUUGCUUGUAAUCCCUCAGGGAGGCCGUGUAUUUAUUAAUCAUGAGCUGCCCAAUUCUCCUUGCUUGGUGCCCUGCAAAUAAACACCCUCUUUUCUCCCAC